rnacentral:rRNA from 1 species
UUUAAAUUGAGAGUUUGAUCCUGGCUCAGGACGAACGCUGGCGGCGUGCCUAACACAUGCAAGUCGAGCGAUGAAACUUCCUUCGGGGAGUGGAUUAGCGGCGGACGGGUGAGUAACACGUGGGUAACCUGCCUCAAAGAGGGGGAUAGCCUUCCGAAAGGGAGAUUAAUACCGCAUAACAUUAUUUUAUGGCAUCAUAGAAUAAUCAAAGGAGCAAUCAGCUUUGAGAUGGACCCGCGGCGCAUUAGCUAGUUGGUGAGGUAAGGGCUCACCAAGGCGACGAUGCGUAGCCGACCUGAGAGGGUGAUCGGCCACAUUGGAACUGAGACACGGUCCAGACUCCUACGGGAGGCAGCAGUGGGGAAUAUUGCGCAAUGGGGGAAACCCUGACGCAGCAACGCCGCGUGAGUGAUGAAGGUUUUCGGAUCGUAAAACUCUGUCUUUAGGGACGAUAAUGACGGUACCUAAGGAGGAAGCCACGGCUAACUACGUGCCAGCAGCCGCGGUAAUACGUAGGUGGCAAGCGUUGUCCGGAUUUACUGGGCGUAAAGAGUAUGUAGGUGGGUGCUUAAGUCAGAUGUGAAAUUCCCGGGCUUAACCUGGGCGCUGCAUUUGAAACUGGGCAUCUAGAGUGCAGGAGAGGAAAGUGGAAUUCCUAGUGUAGCGGUGAAAUGCGUAGAGAUUAGGAAGAACACCAGUGGC